rnacentral:lncRNA from 1 species
UGGUUUGGAAGAGGUCCAACUUCAAGAUGUUCAUUAAUGAAACCUCUUGAUGACAGAGUCGUGUAGUCGUAAUCUGACAUUUUACUUACGCACCAUCUUGCUAAUCUCUUCUCUAGUAAGUACGUCAGGGCUGAGGUCCUUUCCACAACAGGUCGGGCUUCUAUAUUUCUUUUCUUUGAGGCGAGAAUAUGUUGUAUACAGGCGAUGUGUUGAUGAUAUUUUGGUGGUUUUGGAGAGCCCAGAACAUCCUUUCCCCUGGAGGAGAGAGUGACAGAUCGGGCUUUGGGUUUGAAGUUGAUUGGGCGGAGGGGGGACAGAGACCGCAUUGGUUUUCUCGAUGUGGGGGUUGAUAUUGUAGGAGGUGAGUGCCAUUUGAGUGUCUUUGGAGGGGAUAUGUACCUACCACUUUUCAUUGAUGCGAACUCAAAGGAGCAAAUAAAAUUCUGCUUGCUUAUCGUGCUUAUUUGUGUUUUGAAUUUGAACUCAAAGGAGCCAUGGAUGUAUAAG